UACGUAGGGUGCAAGCGUUGUCCGGAAUUAUUGGGCGUAAAGAGCUCGUAGGCGGUCUGUCGCGUCGGCUGUGAAAACCCGGAGCUCAACUCCGGGCCUGCAGUCGAUACGGGCAAACUGGAGUGUUGCAGGGGAGACUGGAAUUCCUGGUGUAGCGGUGAAAUGCGCAGAUAUCAGGAGGAACACCGGUGGCGAAGGCGGAUCUCUGGGCCUUACCUGACGCUGAGGAGCGAAAGUGUGGGGAGCGAACAGG
rnacentral:rRNA from 1 species